ACACGCAUGACACACUGCAUAUCAAUAAGCGGAGGAAAAGAAACUAACGAGGAUUCCCUUAGUAACGGCGAGUGAAGCGGGAAGAGCUCAAAUUUGAAAUCUUCAAGGUUCUACCUUGACGAAUUGUAGUUUAUAGAAGUGUUUUCUGUUAGUAGAGUGGCAAAAGUUCUCUGGAAUAGGACAUCAUAGAGGGUGAGAAUCCCGUAUUUGGUCAUUCUUUCUAGCUUUGUGAUACACUUUCAACGAGUCGGAUUGUUUGGGAAUGCAGUCCAAAAUGGGUGGUAAAUUUCAUCUAAAGCUAAAUAUUGGCGAGAGACCGAUAGCGAACAAGUACCGUGAGGGAAAGAUGAAAAGAACUUUGAAAAGAGAGUUAAACAGUACGUGAAAUUGUCAAAAGGGAAGCGUUUGACACCAGUGUUGUUUUUCCGAAAAUCAAUUACGAAUGUUUUAUUUUUGAGAAGUUAUGACUUCAUCGGCUUGCUUCUCUCUUUAUGAAACUUUCUUAAUGCACUUUUCGGUUAACAAGUCAACAUCAAUUUCUUUUGUUGUAAAAGUGUAUGAGGAAGGUGGCUUUCUUUUCGGAGAAAGUGUUUAUAGCCUUGUACCUCUGCAAUCGGAGAGAUUGAGGUCUGCAGCGUAGAUCCUUCGGGGUUAGAUACAUUUGUGCUAAGUUAUAGCUUUUCAUAGACAACUUGUUGACUAUGUUAAGUCUUGUAGCUUACUCGCUUAUGCUAUUUUACCUACGCUUAGGAUGUUGACGCAUGAGAUAUACGC
rnacentral:rRNA from 1 species